GACGAAGAAGAAUGAGCAUGCGCGGAGCAGUGGCUGGUUGUGUGGUGCUGGCGUGCCUGGUGGCGCUGCUGGCAGAGAGGACAGAAGGACACAUCACCUUCUUCAGCCCAAAGGAGAUGAUGCUAAUGAAGGAGCGGGAAGGUAGAAAGGACAUGGAGCCCCGAUCGGAGGAUGGUCAGUUUGAAGAGGUUACAGUCCAACAGAUUCCUCAGGCGGAGCGUGGUGGAAAUCCUGAUAAAACAGUGGAGAUUGCCAUUCGCCUUUCACCCAAACAGCUGGAUCAUGUGGCUCCAGUGCUUGAAGAGAUCAUCCAUGAUAUAGUGGAGGAACGCCAGAAAGCCAAAUAG
rnacentral:lncRNA from 15 species